AGUCAACGAAAGACUCGAUCUUUGUCUUAAUCCAAGUGGUUCCUCUUCCUCACUCAGCGAAAGAACAGCACGCCUUAAGACAUCGAGAGACUCGAUAAGAAUAAACGCGUCAUCAUCAAAUUCUAAGUCAGCAAUCUUAGUUUCACCAAUGAGCGCUCUACUACACGAUCAAGCCACCCUCCGGCCAAAACAUUCAGUCUAUGCAGACACUGAACAGAGCGGAUGCGAAAAUGGACGUACGGUAACUUCAUCUAAAUAGGCAUAUGAGUCUUCCAAUUUAUUUUCACAAAUAAAAAUUCUUAUAACUCGUUGGAAACACGCAACACCAUUUAUAAAGCCGAAAUUAAAAUGUUUCAAAUCAGAGUUUUGGUCAUUUCUAAAAUAAUAAAAAUGGCAUCGGAUGAUUUAAAUUUACGGUAUAUUCGUAAUUAUAGGUUUCAAACCGGCGACAGAUUAGAGAAAACUCUGGGAGGGUGGAAUUUUAGUGACCGAACAAACAGAGUCUGAUUCGUGGACGAUGCCACUGAAAUCUAUUUCAAUUGUCGAAUGUUUAAGCAGAAAAAAGAAUUCUAAGAAUAACGUCUAUGCGGGGUGUCUGGAAAAAAAGUUUCAGAAAAAAGUCACUGAAAGAAUUUUAGCUAGUGUAGCAAGUAUAUGUUCGCAGAUUGCCUGUCUACCUUUAAGUACAGCAAUUUGGUGGAGUAUCAACAAGAUCAUGAAUUUUCACAUCGUUGGACUCACUUCUUUGGACCUUCUACCCCUACAUCAGUUUUAUACUGGCUCGCAUUAGCCAGCCAAAUAGCGCUUACAUACUAUUUUAAACUGUUUUGUAUUUUUUCAAAAUACUCGCAUUUUGAACUAUCUGAACUGUUUACAAUGGUUUUCAACCAUUUUAACGAACUUUUGGUUGUUCUCAGUCGAUGCAUUGAAAAUUUCUAUUUGACACUGUGUUGCUCAUGUUGUUUUUUUACCCUUUUGCAAUGCGCUUCCAUUUUGUACAUUUUUGUUAUUACUAUUUGUUGUACAUAUUCCUUCCUUGCUACAGUAUUUUUCCUUUUUUUGGGUGUUUUCGUACCUUUCUCUCGCAGUCAAUUUACUGGUCAGAGGGUAUGUUCACAAAUUGCCUACCUACUCUUACGCGUGUUGUCUGCAAGUAAUCACAUGACCUGGUCACGUAAUGGUCGAUUCCUUCUAGAUUUACGCAGGCUAUCAUCCCAUCACGUAACACACCAGCCGAGCGCAGGCAAAUUUAAAUUUAUUCGCUGGAGACUAAAAUCAACUUUAAAAAGAGGCUUUGCUCCCGUUUUUCUCCAUUGUGGUGUGUAGGCAUGGGCGAGUUCGGAUCUCGGCAAAGAAGUAGCAUUGGCGCAUUCGUCUGCUCAUGUCUUCCAGCAGAAGCCAUGUCACGUAUUUGUUUUCCUGUUCUACACCACAUACAUCAAGUUCGAACUACCUGAGAAACCAACAUGUAUAUUUUCUGACAGUAUCAUUCAUGCUAUAACAACCUUUGCUGUACCUUCCAUUAGGCGUUGAAAUUAAAUGUGGCCGUAAAUUGCAAUUCUUGUCUUCCUAUUUCUUUUCGCUAUUAUACCUGACUCAUUUGGAACCAUGAAAUUAUAAUGUUACCAGGGCCAGAGCACAUUAUUUCAACUCCUAAAAUUAGUGACCGACCGACGUGAUUUACUGUUGCAAGCGACGAGUAAAUUCGUUCUUCGUGGAAGAUAGAUUUUCUUUUAUCGGCGAAAUUCUCUACAUCUCAGAAUUACUAGGCGAAUGACUUGGUCAGAACUUUUACUGAACAGUCUGCUAGAGGUGUUCCUACCCGAUAAACCUCACGGUUAAUUUUUUUUUUCAACAAUUCUCCAUUUGCAAGUCCUUGCGUGCAAGAUGUCGUUUCACAUUCAAACACCACCUCUUCCUGCCACCUUUCACGCCCGUACAACGUCAUUCUACUUUGCGAGAUACUUUUGUCGUCUGCAAUACAACAUCCUCGUCCUCAUCCCGUGUCAUAUUUGUUUUUUUUUGUUUUGGUCGUCUACUAUUCGCUUCAUCAUACUUCAACUUGGCCAUCUUUGUUCGAACUGCUAUUGGGAAAAUGUUUGCCUCUGCGUUGGAAAUUCGAUUUCCCCAUUUCCCACGACCGAAGAAUUGGAGAACUUCAAAUUUUUUUUUCAAUUGUAUGGCAGUUUUUAUCCUGUAUUUUCGGUCACUCUUUUUCAGCUCCGAUGUCAGAGAUUAUGUGGAAGUUAAAUCUCUGGCCUGUUAAAUCUCAUGAUGGCAUCUUGAGGUAACUUCUCUCUACUGUAUCUUAGUUCCGCAUUCACGUUCAACUUGACGCCCUGUCAUAGCAGACACCGUCAUUUUCCGCAUCUUCACUUGUCACCUUCACACAGCAUCGCAUCCAUUCGCGCUAAUUCAAAUUUGACGAACUCUUCUCCAAUUGCUUUUCAUCGACGUUUUGGAUUCCAGCAUCUCGUCACCACGAUGCCAGUAGACUUUUUCGCCGCCUGCCAAGAUUUUAUUUCAACCUUGUUACCCUGUGGGAGAUUCAUGUCCCAUUUCGCCACCAGCAAGUUACACCAACCAACUACUUAUGAUCAAUUUUUCGCACCACCGCAAGCUCAUUACGAACUUUCAGUUUGGCUUGUCAUCGCAGUCAUUUCUCCAUUUCGUUUGACAAAUGAACGACCAAAACUCGAUGUUCUGGAAAGGAAAUGGUUAACAUGGCACCAAGGAGUGGAACGACAUAACACGGAUAAAUGAUAAAACGAGAUGCCCACAACAAAGAUAACAUGUCUGCAAGUAUUUGAAGCAGGUCUCUGAUUUUUUUCUGCUUCUUUUUUCUUCCACCAGUCCCAGAAA